AUGGGAUCUGAGGAGAAAGAGAAAGUAACAGGAAGGCUGAUCACAGAUGAAGGAGCUGACAGCGCCAAGGCCAGAAGUGAGCCCCUGCUGAGCCCCUGUCCAGCUACAGCUCUCGCCAUCAGAAAUGCAUCCAAGAAGACAGGUGGCAGCUCCAAAAACCUUGGGGGAAAGUCAUCAGGCAAACGCUUUGGCAUCAAGAAAAUGGAAGGUCACUAUGUUCAUGCUGGCAACAUCCUGGGGACUCAGCGCCAUUUCCGCUGGCACCCAGGUGCCCAUGUAGGGCUGGGGAAGAGGAAGUGCCUGAAUGCCCUGGAAGAGGGGGGUAGUCCGCUACACUAAGGAGCUCUAUGUGCCAAUCCCAGACUCAGAGGCUGUGAAUCUGGUCACCAGCUGCCCAAGGACUCUGUGCUCUACAAGACUUUUGUCUACAUGGUUCCUGCCAAACCUGAGGUUACUUUCAAACUGGUGGCUGUGCUUUGA